GUUUCGCGGAGCCUUGGCGGAAACCCUACUGGGAGCCGGUGUGUCCCCCAGUAACAUUUGCAAAUGAAAGAAGAGGCGACCUGAUGUCUAAUGAUGACACUGCUCUUAUGACCAAAGGAAUGUGAGCUCGUAUAUUCUUUUAGAAUUUCCUAAGGCACUCAUGAAAGGUGGCCGGGUACCACUGUAUCAAUGGCCCAGUUGCCCAUCUCCUGGCGAGAGAUUUCCCUAAGUGACCUGGAAGUGUCACUAUUACCACCGCCCCACAUGAAUCUUGUGCUGGAGGCGACUAGAGCUGUGUGUCCCUCAGCAGAAGCAGGUGGCAUAAGCAAGAGUUCCAUUUUGGUUUCAUUUUCAGAGGACCCCAAUUGCGCAGUCUGCAAGAAAUAAUGUGCCUCUCAGGAUGGUUCCAAGCUGAGCCCAAAUCACUGAGGGAGAUUCACUGCUUGCUAACAUGAACUUUAUUCCUGGAUAAACAAGUCCCAAACCGUCUUGUCCAUAUGCCACCACGGUCAGGUCAAAACACACAUUAUCAGCUGGGUGCGGUGGCUCACGCUUGUAAUCCCAGCACUUCGGGAGGCCGAGGUGGGCGGAUCACUUGAGGUCAGGAGUUGGAGAUCAGCCUGGCCAACAUGGUGAAACCCCGUCUCUACUAAAAAUACAAAAAUUAGCCGGG
rnacentral:lncRNA from 10 species